rnacentral:pre_miRNA from 1 species
UCUUAUGAAUAAGCAAAGAAAAUGAUUUAUGAGAUGAAAUCUCCUCUAAGUGAAGAUGCUGUGAA